UAUGUGAUCGUCUCUCGCAUAUCAAUAAGCGGAGGAAAAGAAACUAACAAGGAUUCCCCUAGCUAACGGCGAGUGAAGCGGGAAGAGCUCAAAUUUGAAAUCUUAAAGGGUUUCCCUUUACGAAUUGUAGUUUAAAGAAGUGUUUUCUGUUGAGGUUUUGGUAAAAGUUCUUUGGAAUAGGACAUCAUAGAGGGUGAGAAUCCCGUAUUUGACCUUUACUUUCAACUUUGUGAUACACUUUCAAAGAGUCGGAUUGUUUGGGAAUGCAGUCCAAAAUGGGUGGUAAAUUUCAUCUAAAGCUAAAUAUUGGCGAGAGACCGAUAGCGAACAAGUACCGUGAGGGAAAGAUGAAAAGAACUUUGAAAAGAGAGUUAAACAGUACGUGAAAUUGUCAAAAGGGAAGCGUUUGACACCAGUGUUGUUUUUCUGAAAAUCAAUUAAAGAACUGUUUAUGCUAAGCUGUUUAGACUUUAUCAGCUAUCUGUUUAGUUUUGAGCUUUUCUUUAAUGCACUUUUCAGUUAACAAGUCAACAUCAAUUUCUUUUGCUGUAAAAAAGCUUGAGGAAGGUGGCUUGAGAUUCGUCUUAAGUGUUUAUAGCCUCUUGCCUAUGCAGUCGGAGAGAUUGAGGUCUGCAGCGUAGAUCCUUCGGGGCUAAAUGCAUUUGUGCUAAGUUAUAGCAUUUUAUAGACAACUUGUUGACUAUGAUUUGUCUUGUAGCUUACUCGCUUAUGUUAUUUUACCUACGCUUAGGAUGUUGAGCGCAUGUCUCUCUCU
rnacentral:rRNA from 1 species